rnacentral:rRNA from 1 species
UGGUAAUAUUUUAAUUAAAAAACCAAAGCAUAAUGGCGGCCUUACAUUACAAUUAGAGGAAUCUGUUUUUUAAUCGAUACCACACGUUUACUUUCACUUAUUAUUAAAGCUUUUAUACCUCCGUCAAAUUUAAAUUUUAAAAUUUAAAUUUUUAAAAAUUAACCUUCAAAGUCAGGUCAAGGUUAAGCCAAUAAAUAAGAAAAAAUGGAUUACAUUAAAUAAAAUUUAAUUUAUGAAAUCAAAAAACAACAAAAAUAAGAAUUUAAAAGUAAUUUUUUUUCAAAAUAAUAAAAUGAAAAGAAAAAAGGUGC